rnacentral:tRNA from 1 species
GAGGGUAUAGCUCAGUGGUAGAGCUUAGCAUUAGCAUGCAUGAGGUCCUGGGUUCAAGCCCCAGUACCUCUG